GAGAGAUGGCUGAGUGGUCGAAGGCGCACGAUUGGAAAUCGUGUGAACGUUAAUAGCGUUCCAUGGGUUCAAAUCCCAUUCUCUCC
rnacentral:tRNA from 1 species